AAAGGGUGCGUAGGCGGUUUAUUAAGUCAGUGGUGAAAGACGGUCGCUCAACGAUUGCAGUGCCAUUGAUACUGGUAGACUUGAGUGGGAUUGAUGUAGCUGGAAUGGAUAGUGUAGCGGUGAAAUGCAUAGAUAUUAUCCAGAACACCAAUUGCGUAGGCAAGUUACUAAGUCUCAACUGACGCUGAGGCACGAAAGUGUGGGUAUCAAACAGGAUUAGAUACCCCAGU
rnacentral:rRNA from 1 species